ensembl:lncRNA
AUGGGGAAAUCACGUGGCGGCGGGACAUGCUUUUACAUCAAUGAAAGGUGGUGUACAGAUGUAACAGUGUUAAAGAAGAUGUGCUGUUCAGAUCAAGAAACACUCUUCAUUAACUGCAAGCCGUUCUAUUCACCGCAGGAGUUUCACUCGUUCAUUCUGGUGAGUGUUUACAUUCCACCGCAAGCGCACGUGAGCUCAGCUUUACAGAAACUCGCUGAUCAGAUCACAGAGACAGAACAACAACACCCAGACUCUGUUUUAAUCAUUCUUGGGGACUUUAAUAAAGCAAAUCUCUCGGCAAAAUACAGACAGCACAUCACAUGUUCCACUAGAGACACCCCCACUCACCAUCAUAGACAGCACUGUGACUGCGGUGGAGUCAUUCAGGUUCCUGGGCACCACAAUCUCUCAGGACCUAAAGUGGGACAUUCACAUUGACUCCAAAAAGGUCCAGCAGAUGUUGUACUUCCUUCGCCAGCUGAGGAAGCUCAACCUGCCACAGGAGCUGCUGAAACAGUUCUACUCUGCCAUCAUUGAAUCCAUCCUCUGCACUUCAAUAUCUGUCUGGUCCAGCUCAGCUACCAAAUCUGACCUCAGAAGACUACAGAGGAUAGUCCGGACUGCUGAGUGAAUCAUUGGUACAAACCUACCUUCUAUACAAGAACUGUACUCAUCCAGAGUGAGCAAAAGGGCUGGCAAAAUCACUCUGGACCCCUCACAUCCAGCACACUCCCUCUUUGAACUGCCGCCAUCUGGUCGACGCUACAGAGCUCUGCGCACCAGAACGACCAGACACAGGAACAGUUUCUUCCCCCAGGCAAUCCAUCUCAUGAACACUUGACAAUAACUGUGGAUCACACAACACUAUUUAUACACACAGACACUUAUUUAUCUAAGACACAUACUUAGUACAUACAAAACUGUCUAUUGUAAUAUACCUGCACAUACAAUUGUCAAUUUGUAUAUUGUUAUACCUUACUUACUUGUUCUAUAUUUUUUAUUCUUUUAUUAUCUGUGUUUUUUGUUCUGUCACUGUCAUUCUGUUGCACUGCAGAAGCUUCUGUCACGAAAACAAAUUCCUUGUAUGUGUAAACAUACCUGGCAAUAAAGCUCAUUCUGAUUCUGAUUCUGAUAUAUUAGCCUUCUUGAAUAUGUGCAUAUUCUGUUGCAUGCACAUUUUAGAUGUUCAAUAUCAGCCUUACACAGUGAGGCUCUCUCAAGUCGGUAAAAUAACGGGUUGUUUCUCACGGGUCUGUGAUGCCCAUUAAAGCUCUACAUGCACUAAUGCACUAACUAAUUUAAAAUCUGACCAACCUUUUGUACCUUCCCUUAAAAUAGGCCCAUAUGCACGGACGAGCACAUCUGCUUGAGAAUUUA